rnacentral:rRNA from 1 species
UGGGGAAUAUUGCACAAUGGGCGCAAGCCUGAUGCAGCCAUGCCGCGUGUGUGAAGAAGGCCUUCGGGUUGUAAAGCACUUUCAGCGGGGAGGAAGGCGUUAAGGUUAAUAACCUUGGCGAUUGACGUUACCCGCAGAAGAAGCACCGGCUAACUCCGUGCCAGCAGCCGCGGUAAUACGGAGGGUGCAAGCGUUAAUCGGAAUUACUGGGCGUAAAGCGCACGCAGGCGGUCUGUCAAGUCGGAUGUGAAAUCCCCGGGCUCAACCUGGGAACUGCAUUCGAAACUGGCAGGCUAGAGUCUUGUAGAGGGGGGUAAAAUUCCAGGUGUAGCGGUGAAAUGCGUAGAGAUCUGGAGGAAUACCGGUGGCGAAGGCGGCCCCCUGGACAAAGACUGACGCUCAGGUGCGAAAGCGUGGGGAGCAAACAGG